CAGCAGCCGCGGUAAUACGUAGGGUGCGAGCGUUAAUCGGAUUUACUGGGCGUAAAGCGUGCGCAGGCGGCCCGUUAAGACAGGUGUGAAAUCCCUGGGCUCAACCUAGGAAUUGCGCUUGUGACUGGCGGGCUCGAGUACGGUAGAGGGGGGUGGAAUUCCUGGUGUAGCAGUGAAAUGCGUAGAGAUCAGGAGGAACACCGAUGGCGAAGGCAGCCCCCUGGGCCUGUACUGACGCUCAUGCACGAAAGCGUGGGGAGCAAACAGGAUUAGAUACCCUGGUAGUCCACGCCCUAAACGAUGGGUACUAGCCGUUUGGUGCGCGAUAGCGCUGAGUGGCGAAGCUAACGCGUGAAGUACCCCGCCUGGGGAGUACGGCCGCAAGGUUGAAACUUAAAGGAAUUGGCGAG
rnacentral:rRNA from 1 species